GGCGCCCGGUACCUGCGCUGACCACGGCGGCGCCAUUGCCGCAGCGCCCAGCACCCGACCUGAGCUACGAUUCCUUGAUCCUAUCGGUGCUACGCCUAGCGAAGGUUGAAGCGAGUUUGUAGAAGAGGAUUUAGCGGAGGGUUUCUCACCGUGAGUCGUGCGCACCGAGGCUCGGUCCCCAUCAGAGUUGCGGCAUCGCGGCAAGAGAUUCCCCAUGGUCCGAGGCUGACCUCGUCGAAUUGGGGUCUCGCAAAGCCUGCCCACAAUCCCACCAACUGGUCCAUGAACACUGAGCACCGAUGAAGGUUCGUGCCCAUGGCGGCGGCAUCCAUUCCGUCCAACCAUACGACGCGUCAGGAAGAGGCUAGUCUGGCCAUGCAGCACGGCGAGUCUGCGGUGGCGAUCUGUCUGUUUCUCUCUCGUUGUUUCCCUCCUCUCUUUGUUUACUAUGGCUCUUGGAUCGGCUCCAAAUCCAGCGUCAAUUGAUGGCGUAUUUACGGAAGGUGUACAGGUGCCAAUAUUUAUAUGCACGUUAAUUUUGCCAGUAACAGAAACCGAGUCUCGCGGGGGAUUUUAUUUUUUCGGUUUGUCACGGCGUCGAGAUGCAUGAAGAGCUGCUGUUGCAACGGCCCGCGAACUAUACGAUGAUUGUGUCCAAGUUUGUUACAGGCGCGGUAGAAGCUGGUUCAACUAUAGCGGCCCCACGAGUCAUUGAAACGCAGCAUGCAUUAUAGCGAGGAACGACCAGCAUGCAUAGCCUAGAGAAACGGGAGCAGUUUCCCCUGCGGCCCACACGUCAUUGAGAUAUUAAUGACGUCAUAUAUGUGCAAGCGUGAUGCAAGCAUCCGGCUAACUAAUAAAAUAAUAAUAAAAAAACUAGAGAAGAGAUGUGGGCUACGUGCAUUUGGAAAGGGCUAGGCCGAGCGUGUCUUGAGCCUACGGUAGAGAGAGGUAAGGCUUUUUUUCUCCUUUUUGUUUUAUGUUUUUUUUUUAUUUUCAGUUUGUUUCCGUUCUCCGAUUCAAAUUUAAACAUGAGUCUGAAUUCUCAUACUUUUUAUUAAAUACACGAGCAAGAAUCCCAGCAUGAUGAAAAAGUACAAUUGUAUCCAUUUAUUUAUUUUUAUCCUAUUUAAGCAAAUACUUCUAAUUAUGAAACCCAUACUCUCACAAAAAAAAACAUAUUUUGGGAAAAAGAAUUCUAGUGCAUAAAAUUACUUUUGGAGAGUACUUAUAAAUAUAUAUUCCAGUAAAGAGAUAAAUAGAUUCAUAUAGGAAUCCACUUUAUUCAAUAUUUUAUUAGAAAACAAUUCAAAUUUUAGGAGAAUUGGCUUAAGAGGUAGAAAAAUCCUUAUUACGAGAUAUUUUAAUUCGAAAUUCUUGGAGAUUUUUCCUUGAUCUCAAAUCUAUGAUUUUGGGUUAUUACAAAUUCUACCCCCCUUAAAAAUAAUCUCGUCCUCGAGAUUAGUAAGAAAAGGGAUAUACAAAGAUUGUUUUGUAAUUGAGAUUCUAGUUUCUAAUUGGUUCAAUAUGAAGAGUUUUUUUUUCUUUAAUUAGUAGGUUAUUAGAAAAGCAUGGGUAUCUUUUAUGUGUAGCCACCCAAUUAUGUAGGAUAAAAGAUGGGUAGGUUAGGGCAAGAAUAGUUUGUGAUGAGAAAGAUUAUGGUGAGGAAAGGUUUUCAUCACGAAUGGUGGGUCUUGUCUCAUUUGGAGAUCCGGAUUGGCUCUUAUCCUUCCUUGAUGACAUUGAUGUCUUCCUUCUCUGGUCUUGGUCUAAUUGAGUCGAGGUCAGUGUAUUUUAUCGGAGUUGGGGAAAUAUGGUGAAUAUAGAUAGGGGUGAGAUGGACUACAUGACGUAGGUGAGAAGUUUAUUUGAUGUUAAGUGAAAAUAGACAUAUUAUGCAAUCCAUCAUGACUCUAUUGGUUGGGUUAGCUCUACUUAAGGUUAGACUUUGUUAGGUUAGACUAAUCUAUCACAUUAGAUCAGAUCUAGGUUAGAUCGUUAUGACAAGAUAGACUAGAUAAGAUCUAUUUAAUUUAUUUUGGAUUAGAUCCUGAUUGUUACUUUAGGAUGAGAUAAGUAAAAUGGUUAGGAUAAGACAAAUCUUUCAAUAUAAGAUGGACCUAUCAAGAUAAGAGAGAAUCUUUUAAGAUAAGAUGGAUCUAUUAAAAUAUAUUCUAGUGGGGGCUAUUUUUAGUUGAUCUAAUAUAUCUAGUUUAAUAGAUCCAUUUUUAAUACGAAAUAUUAUGUGUUGUCUAUUUUAUAAAUAUUUUUUCCUUAUGUCUAGGUGUAUAUGCAGAUGCAAUUAUGGACAUUACUCCACAACCCAUCACACUCAAUCAAAGAUCCAAAUCAGACAAAUAUCAUAAGAACAAACAUUCAAGCAUACAAAUAUUUACAAAAAUAGUUUUGAUUUUGUCCCUAAGAUGAGGUCUCCUAUUCCUAAAAUCACUUUAGGCACAGGAUUUCAAAGUGUGAAAUCCACAUUUGUCUUUAGAAGGAAAAGGUAAGAAUAAUCAGAGUAAAGCAGAAAUAGAUGAGAAAAGAUUAAGAAAAGUUUAGAAAAGAAUCAGAGUAGCAAAGGUAAGUAGAGAAUGGGUGUCCAGUUCUAUCUAGGUUUCGUCCUACAGUCAACAUUCCUCUGAUACCACUUCUGUAACACCCGGAUUUUAGGGGUCCAAAACCCGGGCGCUAACAUAAACACCAGGUAUGCUGGGACCAAGUCUCACACAUAUGAUGUAAAGUGGCACAGGAUCGAAUGUCACAUCUUUAUAUAUAACAGGAGUUCUAUACAAAAUAAAUAAUUACAUUAUAAGGAGACAACGGUCCAGCAACCCAAAGUUGACUGGGAGACGACGACCUAGACCACUCACGAACUCAUCGCAGCAUCUUCCAUGAGCAUCAUCCUGCAGUACCUGGUCUUGACCUGUGGUGUAUGUGAGACAGCAAGAGUGAGCUCACAUACGUUCAUCGCUCAACAAGUUGUGGGGAAUAAUGUGCAUGAACUCGCCAAAGGUGGGAGCUCACGUGAAGUGUAAGGCUUACCAAAGAGGAUGGUUAGAGCUGAGCAUUGCUUUUAAAGUUGGUCAAAAUUUUAUUAGCAAUUACUAAGUAUAAGUAAAUACCAACCCAAUUAAGUAGUAGAACAAAAGUAACAACAUCACCUGUACAACAUCACCUGCGAUGCAAUGCAUAUGACAAAUUGAGUUUAAUUCCAUAAUUUAAUCAUGUGAGUGUCCGAGCCGCUCAUGACCGUGAGCACGGCUAGUAUACCAGUUUUACACUCUGCAGAGGUUGCGCAUCUUUACCCACAAGUCAUGUUACCCAUCUGCCAAGGGAUCGCGACUUCCCAUACACCUCUACCGAGGAGGCGAGGCAGGGUAACACUACGAGGCCUUUACAAAGUUCCACUAGCUUCAGAAAACCCGCUACAGUUUAUAGGAAGCUCCAAUGCAGGAAUCCCUUGCAGGACCGCCAUCACAGCAAAAUCCUCCCGAGGGCCUCCCCAGGAAUCCCUUGCAGGACCGCCAUCACAGCGAAAUCCUCCCGAGGGCCUCCCCAGGAAUCCCUUGCAGGACCGCCAUCACAGCAAAAUCCUCCCGAGGGCCUCCCUACACUGACCACUCCCCUACUGCCCUUGCCCCUUUCAGGUAAGGUAGUCUUCCACUAGCUUUCCUAAUUAAUCGGCCAAGGGCGUCCCAUUAAACCCUUGUGGUAGCACUGUUUUCCCGGGUGGUUCUCCAUGUUCCAAUUAACAUAAUGAUCUUAUCAUGAACAGUGAUAAUAAACAGAUAAUAAAAGUGUGAUCAUGAAUAAUGUAUCUUCAUACCCAAAACCACAUAAAGCACUAGCAAGUACUACCCAAAAAGUUCAGUGGUAAACAAGGUAUAAAGAUAGACAAACUAGGGUAACCUAUUGGGUCCCAUCAAAAUUAACCUAUGCAGAUCAUUAUGAUUAAUCAGAACAUGAGUAGGUAAAAAGAAGUGAUCAAGGGCACAACUUGCCUGGGACUUGAGAUUCCAGGUACCAGGAUGAUCUUCAGAUUCUCGUGACCUCACUGCUAAUCGUAGCAAUACAAACAAACAUGGUAUAGACAAAAUUAACAUCCCACCAUACAUAAGAAUAAACUGAAUGAUAGUAAUCUACGCGUCGCUACAAGAUCGUGGGUUCAAGAAUCGCUAAAUUCGGGGUUAGGGUCAUGAAGUUAUGGUUUUUCGAAAAUCCACGUGGUUAAAUAUAGAAUAGAUUAAGUGCAACAUUUUAACCUAUAUUUCAUGACAAAACAAAGUCACCAGAUGAUAAUAAAUAUUAUUGUGAGACUAAUGCAACUAGAAUAGAUCAAAACGGAGUUAGAAUGAAUUAAAUAUGAAUUAAACAAGUUUAUGGAUUUAUUUUUAUACUAAAAACCUAUUUUCUUUAUUAAAUUCUGAAUUUCCUAGCGGUUCUGGACUGUGCACAAUAUUUCUUAAGAGAUCAGGGGCUAACUCGCAAUUUCGCCCAAGACUCAGACUAACUCUUAAGUGGACGGCGGCUUUAUUCUACAGAACAGCAAGGGUUUAUUUGCAAAUAGCGCAUGGUGAAGGGGUACGGGUAAACCCCAGCCGCCAGAUCUUAAUCCGAGGGCCCAAAAACCACAUAAUCGAAAGGGUUUCAGCCAUUUUAAUCACAGCCAUCCGCGGCUGGAUCAACGGAUCAGAUUGGGCGAUAAAACUCUACGCCCAGGAUGUAAUCCACACCUUCGAUUUCGUCAUCCACGAUCAGUACACCUUCUUCUAUCUCUCGUGGGAAAACUGGGCAGCGGCGCCCGGUACCUGCGCUGACCACGGCGGCGCCAUUGCCGCAGCGCCCAGCACCCGACCUGAGCUACGAUUCCUUGAUCCUAUCGGUGCUACGCCUAGCGAAGGUUGAAGCGAGUUUGUAGAAGAGGAUUUAGCGGAGGGUUUCUCACCGUGAGUCGUGCGCACCGAGGCUCGGUCCCCAUCAGAGUUGCGGCAUCGCGGCAAGAGAUUCCCCAUGGUCCGAGGCUGACCUCGUCGAAUUGGGGUCUCGCAAAGCCUGCCCACAAUCCCACCAACUGGUCCAUGAACACUGAGCACCGAUGAAGGUUCGUGCCCAUGGCGGCGGCAUCCAUUCCGUCCAACCAUACGACGCGUCAGGAAGAGGCUAGUCUGGCCAUGCAGCACGGCGAGUCUGCGGUGGCGAUCUGUCUGUUUCUCUCUCGUUGUUUCCCUCCUCUCUUUGUUUACUAUGGCUCUUGGAUCGGCUCCAAAUCCAGCGUCAAUUGAUGGCGUAUUUACGGAAGGUGUACAGGUGCCAAUAUUUAUAUGCACGUUAAUUUUGCCAGUAACAGAAACCGAGUCUCGCGGGGGAUUUUAUUUUUUCGGUUUGUCACGGCGUCGAGAUGCAUGAAGAGCUGCUGUUGCAACGGCCCGCGAACUAUACGAUGAUUGUGUCCAAGUUUGUUACAGGCGCGGUAGAAGCUGGUUCAACUAUAGCGGCCCCACG
rnacentral:lncRNA from 1 species